AUUUUUUUUUAUUUGUUCUUGUUAGUUAAAUUCUAAUAAUCUAUUUUCCUCUUUUGGUAAUGUAGAACAUCAUUGAAUCAAAGGUCAAAGGUCUAGGUGUAAUCUGGAUAGUAGUUUCUUUCUUUUUCUUGGUUUAUCUUUAGUUUACAAGAAACAGGAUUGGAGUAAAGUAGGUUCUUGAUUUUUGUUUGGUACUUUGGUUUCUCGUUUUCAAACGUACGUUUUUAUCUUUCCUCUUCUGCUUUGUUUGGUUUCCAAGAAAGUGAUCUAGGUUUAAUAUGCACUGUGUUUUCUUUCUUUUUCUCAGUGUUUGUUUGGUUUUAAUGAAACAGGAAUGAAGUAUAGUGUGUUCUUGAUUUCUGAUUGGUUUCCAAGAAAGUGAAGGAAAAUGAUAUGUCUUGUUAUCAUUUUUUUUUCUGCAUGCCAGAACGAUUAAUAAAAAUGAUAUAUAGAAGGGUUUCACAACUAAGCUCCUUGUUAUUUUGGUUGGUGUCUUCUGAAAAUUAUCUAUAAUUGUCUCCAAAAUAGCUGAGGUGGAAGGCAUGGUUGUGAUUGCUUUCAGAAAGAUUCGAAGUCUGGGUGUUGGAAAUUUAAGGCUUUCCUAUAAAGUAAUGCUUCAAGAUGGAGGCAAGAGACUUGGUUGUAGAUAUAUACAUGAGCAACUUAAUUUAAGUUUAUGUAUAUUGUCUUAUAGUGUGUUUUUAAUUUCGUUGUAUAUUAUAUGAGUUUCUUCUAUAUAGAGAAAUUGGGGACAACUUUAAACAA